UACAGCUCUUCUGCCUGUGACACUUCUAUAUAUGGUCAGCAAAGAUAUUUGCCGGGAUUUGCAUUUUUCCAAAAGUAAUCCCAGACAAUCAGAAGCUUGCUAAUCCGUAUAAAAAAAACCCACGCGAGAGGAUCCCUAGCCCUGCACACAUUAGCCCGUUCGGCUUUCUCCGCCCUGAGGCUUACACAGCGAAGGGAAUACGGCAAGCUCUGGUUUUCAGUGAAUACUCGGACGCUCCGGUGGGUGCGUUGGCAGCGCGCACCCUGCCCGCGGAUGCCUUCCCAAACUCCAGCUGCACGGCAGCCUGCAACCCCGUACAGCUGGAGGAACCUCACUGAUCCAGAAAGAGGGACACAACACGCACGAAUUUACCUGCUGUGUGGGACGCCCUGGAGGAUCCAGCCCAAGACACCAUGGGCAGGCCAGCCCUGGCAGAGAGCAGCGCUGCAAGAAAGUGAUAGCUUUCUCACUAAUGGAAAUUGAUUGAGUCCAGCUCUCAUAUAGAGAACACACUGAGGAAAUUCUUAAGCGGAAUAUCAAUCGAGCUGGAAAAGAUACCUCACACUGCAACAGAGACAAAUCAACACUGUGCCAAUUCUUGCAAUUCCAGAGCAACUCCACCUUUAUGAUGCAGGCAAUAUUUUUUUGUCAUUGACCUGGAAAUUUUUCUGAGAGAUGUGUUUGCUGCUCCUUCUUAUAUUAAAUAAUUCACUUUCCAUUAUUUUUGUUAGAAACAAUGAAAAAAACCUAGAGUAGUGUUUUGAAAGUGUAGUGACUUGCAC
rnacentral:lncRNA from 1 species